rnacentral:rRNA from 1 species
CCUACGGGAGGCAGCAGUGAGGAAUAUUGGUCAAUGGACGAGAGUCUGAACCAGCCAAGUAGCGUGAAGGAUGACUGCCCAAUGUAUUGUAAACUUCUUUUAUCAAGGAAUAAAACGAGGCACGUGUGCCUUUUUGCAUGUACUUUAUGAAUAAGGAUCGGCUAACUCCGUGCCAGCAGCCGCGGUAAUACGGAGGAUCCGAGCGUUAUCCGGAUUUAUUGGGUUUAAAGGGAGCGUAGAUGGGUUGUUAAGUCAGUUGUGAAAGUUUGCGGCUCAACCGUAAGAUUGCAAUUGAUACUGGCAGUCUCGAGUACAGUUGAGGUAGGCGGAAUUCGUGGUGUAGCGGUGAAAUGCAUAGAUAUCACGAAGAACCCCGAUUGCGAAGGCAGCUUACUAAACUGUGACUGACAUUGAUGCUCGAAAGCGUGGGUAUCAAACAGGAUUAGAUACCCGGGUAGUC